CUGCCCUUGUUCGCCAGUGUGUGUCGCCAGCCGGGCAGAGCUGGGCUCAGUCCUGAGCGCUCUGCCCUCUGCACGCCUCUACCCGCGCGGCUCCCCGGACAAGGUCUCGCUGUGUAAUCCAGGCUGCCUUGGAACUCCCGACAAUCCUCCUUCCUCAGCUUGCUCAGUGCUGAGCUUACAGCUCCUGUAUCCCAUUUAAGACAAGAAAGCCACAUUCAUGGACUCUGAACAAUGCACGCUGGCCAGGAUUCUGCCAGUUGAACCCAGGAAUUCAGUUUACAGAAAUGACCUCUUGGCUAUGAUGGAGGACAAAUCGCU